CCUUGCACCGUACCUUUGUAGGAUAUUUUUUGAAACAAUAUUUAGAUUUUAAAUUUACAGAAUAGUAUUGAAAUUUAAACGACAUAAUGCAGCCGUCAAUGCGAAGAGAGGAACACGCUGUUGAUAUUUAUCACCGUCAAAGCGUCGUUCACUAAAAAAUAGUUUGCAAGAAUAAGUGUGUAUAAUUGAUUCACGCUCGGGCUCAGGUAUUUAGAUCUAGUUCGAUAGAACUUCACUGCGAAUGGAUGGAUAUUCAUGAAUUUUGCCGAAUACAAGGGAAGUGUUAUAGGACCACCUUGUAUGAGUCUUAUUGCUAGGACAAGCAAAUAGGUUUACAAAUCAAGGUGUUCAGAUUUGCUGCUCUUUUCACAUUAGCGAUCUUCUGCGAUACGUUCUGUGAUGCACUUUAUCAUUCAUGAACGGAACUACGUUGGUCUGUGACAGCUGCCGUCGUCGAUAGAAGAACGGGAAGGUCAGUAUCUUUGCUUUGGCAUCUAGUAACGGUAAUCGUAGUACUGAUCGCUGUAAUGAUAUUGAACUUCCGACACACUGCAGAUCGGAGAGGGAUUGCUGUUGGAAUGCGCGCGACUGGAGGCAGGCUAGAUUUACGGACGAACCGCAAUGAGGUUUAGAGCCGCUUUCUGCACAAUUCAGAGAUGAAAGACAAACUUCCAUCCCCCCCACACCACCCCGCAUCCGGUCCGAGUUCCAAGCCUUAAAUUGAAAAAGUUCGGCGAGAGAACUCUACGACGUCACGACAGUGGAAUCGAAGUACACGAAAAGUGUACAAAAUCUACGUGCUUCAGGCCAACUCCCUUUCAACUGUAUUGUAAUCGGUCGUUUUGGACACAGUAGAAGACUAUGUUCCUAGUUCUGGCGAGAGAACGCUGCGCCAGGAAGAACAAGGAGAACGCAAGCCAUACAAGUUGUUGUUUGAAACUGAAUUAUUCUGUUCGCUGGCCCAUCGUACAUUUACCACUCUAGACAAGUGUAAGAUCCGCUCAAAUUUGAUACAUUAAUGGCUACAUUGCGUUCUAAUUUAUCGAAAGUCAACAAUGAAACUUACUGGUAGUAGUCAGACAAGAAAUUUCAUGAUUUGUUGCCGUAUCAAGAUCUAAGGGAGGUGAUGUAUUUCCCUGUGAAAGGUUUCAAGGAUCCGCCCCGAAGGGCAAUUUUUCAUUGCUCGUGGACAGUUCCGUUACGACCUUUAAAACGAACAACUGGUUCGGAGCAGAAUACGUUUUUAGGCUUUAUUUUAAAUGUGGCUGUGUUAUACAAAUAAGGAUAAACGCAAAUUAUCAAAAAUACUUACAAAAUUU